UUAAGCUACCAUCUAGAUUUUUUUUUAAUUCAAGGUUUAAAUAUUUGCAAAGGACACAUAUAUGUGUGAAUAUAUUCAUAUAUAUUUUUUGGUACUGGGGAUUUAACUAGUCAAAAGAUAUUUUAAUGUCUGCCAUAUUAUAUAAAAGUGUUUAUUAACAAAUCAGAUCAGUCAUUCUUUCAAGUGAAGUCUGGCUUCAUUUUUUAACUUAGGUAAAUGUGUAAAUACACUUGUAGUCUCACUUCUAAGAGAUGAGGCUUAGGAACUUAUUUGUCCUGAGUUGUCUCCCCAUUAAGAUAAGGCAACACUCCACCUAGGGGUUGGUUAUGAAGCUCUGCUCUGCUGCCCUGGAACUAUGCUUUUUGUUUGUUUUUUGGUACCAGGCAUCGAACUCAAGAACUUGUGCUUGCCAGGCAGGCACAGUGCCACUGAGCUACAUUCCUGGCUCUCCCCUGGGACUCAGAAGAAUCUAGUUGUCUAAAGAAAAGGUGUUUCUGUCUGAUGCCUCAGAGGGGUUCCAACCCAGGAAGGUGCACUUGAUAACACUGUACAGCUCUUCUCUCUUUCUGGAAGAAAAUGAUGCUUUGAAUGUGCAAUAUCCAUUGAAAUGCCAGCAUAUGUCAAAGUGGAUGCUAACAGCUGACAUUCUGAAAAGCCUCUCUGAUGUUCUGCUUAUUUUACCCUUGCUCUUAGUUCCUUCAGUGGGGUGGGGGUAGGGGGGGAGUGGACACAAGGUCUCACUAUGCAGUCCAGGCUGAUACUUUGUAAUCCAGGCUGUCCUUUAACUCCCAAGAUCUUCCUGCCUCAGCCUCCAGAGUAUACACCAUACCCAGCUUCCUUCCGUGGAUGUGCUAAUGUACUUCUCCUGGUUCAGAUACUUAUUUAUAGAUUUGUCUGCUUGGGGGAUUCAAUAGGCAUGGUAGGUUAAAUGGUUUGGAAGAAACCUGAAGGGAACAGGAUUUUUUCUAUAUAUGUAUACUAUUGCAGGAUAUAAUGUCCUUAGUAAGAAAAAGAAAUGUUGAAGAUGUUAAAUGUUUUUUGAGCUCUUCAGAAAAAAAUACAAGCCAACAGGUCAAGAGAUACCCAAACUGUCUGAGAAAUAGGCAAUGUAGGGUUUUCUUACUGUUUCAUAAUUAAGUUUGCAGUUUAUCUUCAAUACUUUUAAUUCUUUAAGCAAUAUAAAUUUCAGUCUUUGAUUUUAGAUUAGUCUUCCUAAAUAUAUAAUACACAUUUUAAAACACAUAUACAUUAGCACUAUUAUUAGCUUUUCUCCUACUUCAUCCUUCAUCUUCCCAACUGUAACCAUUGACAUUAGUUUCUCAUACUUCUAGUUUCUCAUGAGUAAACAAAGUUUCUCUCCUUUUACACAAAAAGUAGCUUACUUAACAGACACCAUUCAGCAUCAUGCUUUUUGCAGUUAAACAUUUCUAAGAGAUUUUUUUCCAUUAGGUCAGUAUUCUUAAGUGGCAGAAAAGGGAAUAGAAAUCAAAUUGUGAAAUAAAUCUUUGUAACUUCAUGCCAUAAAAAUAAAAAUGUGAGGGGCUGGGGAUUUAACUCAGUGGCUCCAGCUCCUGCCUCAAAAGCACAAGGUCCUGAGUUCGAUCCCCGGUAGCAAAAAAAAAAAAAAAAUGUGUAGGAUCUUUAAAAAAUGGAAUAAUGUGUAAAAGUAUGGGAGUCAUACUUUUUGCUUGUUUUUAAAUCUUUUAUGAUGAUAAAUUCAAAUAAAGUUUUUACUUUUAGCAGCUCUUUAAUUGUUGUAUGUCUUCACAAUGUGUGCAAACACCUGCAUUUAUUUUCUUAAGUGUGUAACUGAGGCCGACAGAUUAAAUGCCAUGGUAGUCUUGGAACUGGGAUGCAGGCUGCAAUUCCCAAUGUGAGAUGAGGCUUUUAUAGAGAAACAAGCAUACUGAAGGUCUAUCCUGUGCUACUUGAUCUCAAUCCUUAUAACAACCUUAUGGGGUAGGCAGUAUUAUGCCCACUUUAUAGAUGGGUAAGGAACUAAAAAA